GAUGAACGCUGGCGGCGUGCUUAACACAUGCAAGUCGAACGGAAAGGCUCCUGCUUGCCGGGGCACUCGAGUGGCGAUCGGGUGAGUAACACGUGGGGGAUCUGCCCUGAACUUCGGGAUAAGCUUGCGAAACUGGGUCUAAUACCGGAUAGGACAACUUUUUGGAUAUUGUUGUGGAAAGCUUUUGCGGUAUGGGAUGAGCUCGCGACGUAUCAGCUUGACGUUGGGGUAUUGGUCUACCAAGGAGUCGACGGGUAGCCGGCUCGAGAGGGUGUACGGCCGCUUUAGGACGGCGAUGCAGCCCGGACUCGUAGAGGAGGCAGAAGGGGAGAAUGUUGGACGAUGGGCUGAAGCAUGAUGGAGGGACGCCGCGUGAAGGAUAAAGGCCUUCGGGUUGUAAACUCCCAUCGCUAAGGACGAAGCUUUUUUGUGACGGUACCUGGAGAAGAAGCACCGGCUAACUACGUG
rnacentral:rRNA from 1 species